GGUCAGGUUGGUCGAGCUACACUCGGACCUGGACAUUCGUUUGUUUGAUACACUUGGUGUAGUCAUGUUAAUGGUUGGAUCUAAUCAGAAUUUUUAAUGGAGAUGCCACAUGCCUGCUGAAGAGAUGUCUGGGGCCAAACAUAAUUGCUAAAAAUUAUUUGAUGAAAUAAUUGGUUAAGAACCUACCCAUAGAUGUAUUAGGGUUGGUCGAGCCACAUUCGGACCUAAAUGUAGUCUGUGUGGAUUC
rnacentral:lncRNA from 1 species